rnacentral:rRNA from 1 species
UAUCAUAACUUAAACCUGAUUAUCAACCUAAUAAAAAAUAAUAGUAAGCACAAAGCUAAAGAAUUAGAUAGUAAAAAACUUGGCUCUGAUUUUAUGUAUGGCAUAUACUAUAGGAUACACAUGGUUUUUUUAGAAAGAGAUGAGGUGGAAGGCAAAUGUUUGGAACGGGCAUAAAGUUAUAAAAACAUAGUUUUCUGGGAUGUUAUAGACGAAGAUGAUAUUCUGAAAUACCCAUUAACUCCAGUGUUGAAGAUUAGGAUAGAAGCGAAAGCUUGCAUUAGUUUAGUAAGAUAAAAUUUGGUUAAUUUGGUGCCAGCAUCCGCGGUUAAACCAAGAAAUUUAGUCAUUCUUUUACGGUAAAAAGACAGUUAGGCUGAAAACUAAAAGCCAUGAGAUUUUUAAUAUAGGAGUAAAAUCUAAGUAUUAAAAGAUAUUCCAGGCAUGGUUUAUUUAAGAUGCUGAAUCUGUGACAACUUUAAGGGAAACUGGGAUUGGAUACCCCAUUAUUUUUAGUUGUAAAUUUAGUCUAAGCUUACCGGAGUACUACGAAUCAAAAAAUUUAAAACUCAAAGGGCUUGGCGGUGUUUUAGACCUCUCAGGGGAACCUGUCUCAUAAUCGACAAUCCGCGCUAAACCUGACCUUUUCUGGUAAUGCAGCCUGUAUACCGUCGUCGUCAGGUAACUUCUUAAAAUAUAGUAGUUAGCUAGAGAAUUGUAUUAAUUAGGACGUCAGAUCAAGGUGCAGCUAAUGAGAGGGUGAAGAUGGGUUACAAUUACAAAUUUGUAAUAACGGAAAGGCGUUUGAAAUUAAAUGCCUUAAAGGAGGACUUGAAAGUAAUUUUAAGUAAAUAAAUAAAAUGAAUAAGGCUCUGAAACGUGCACACAUCGCCCGUCGCUCUCGUUGAAAAAUGAGAUAAGUCGUAACAUAGUAGGGGUAAUGGAAAUUGUUCCUGGGCUG